rnacentral:tRNA from 1 species
AAGAUACUAGUAAAGAACUUACAUUGCCUUGUCAAGGCAACAUCGCGGGUUGGACCCCCGCGUGUCUUA